UACGGAGGGAGCUAGCGUUGUUCGGAAUUACUGGGCGUAAAGCGCACGUAGGCGGCUUUGUAAGUUAGAGGUGAAAGCCCGGGCUCAACCCCGGAAUUGCCUUUAAGACUGCAUCGCUUGAAUCCGGGAGAGGUGAGUGGAAUUCCGAGUGUAGAGGUGAAAUUCGUAGAUAUUCGGAAGAACACCAGUGGCGAAGGCGGCUCACUGGACCGGUAUUGACGCUGAGGUGACGAAAGGCGUGGGGAGCAAACAGG
rnacentral:rRNA from 1 species